rnacentral:rRNA from 1 species
CAAUAGCGUAUAUUAAAAUUGUUGCGGUUAAAACGACUCGUAGUUGGAUAUCUGUGAGCGGGCUCCGGUCCUUCCCAGUGAAGAUUACACGGAACUCUGCUCGCAUUUGUUCAGGGAGGGUGGAUGCACUUCACUGUGUGACCACAUGAUCUGAAUUUUUACUUUGAAAAAUUAGAGUGUUUCAGGCAGGCAAUUGCCCGAAUAUCUUAGCAUGGAAUAAUGGAAUAGGACUUUGGUUCAUUUUAUUGGUUAUUGAAUCAGAGUAAUGAUUAAUAGGGACAGUUGGGGGCAUUAGUAUUUAAUUGCCAGAGGUGAAAUUCUUGGAUUUAUUAAAGACUAACUUAUGCGAAAGCAUUUGCCAAGGAUGUUUUCAUUAAUCAAGAACGAAAGUUAGGGGAUCAAAGACGAUCAGAUACCGU